GACGAACGCUGGCGGCGUGCUUAACACAUGCAAGUCGAACGGAAAGGCCCUGCUUUUGUGGGGUGCUCGAGUGGCGAACGGGUGAGUAACACGUGAGUAACCUGCCCUUGACUUUGGGAUAACUUCAGGAAACUGGGGCUAAUACCGGAUAGGAGCUCCUGCUGCAUGGUGGGGGUUGGAAAGUUUCGGCGGUUGGGGAUGGACUCGCGGCUUAUCAGCUUGUUGGUGGGGUAGUGGCUUACCAAGGCUUUGACGGGUAGCCGGCCUGAGAGGGUGACCGGCCACAUUGGAACAGAGAUACGGCCCAGACGACUACGGGCGGCAGGAGUGGGAAUAUUGCACAAUGGGCGGAAGCCUGAUGCAGCAACGCCGCGUGCGGGAUGACGGCCUUCGGGUUGUAAACCGCUUUCGCCUGUGACGAAGCGUGAGUGACGGUAAUGGGUAAAGAAGCACCGGCUAACUACGUG
rnacentral:rRNA from 1 species